GAUGAAGAACGUAGCGAAAUGCGAUAAGUAGUGUGAAUUGCAGAAUUCAGUGAAUCAUCGAAUCUUUGAACGCACAUUGCGCCCUUUGGUAUUCCUUAGGGCAUGCCUGUUCGAGCGUCAUUUAAACCUUCAAGCUCAGCUUGGUGUUGGGUGACUGUCCGCUUCACCGCGGACUCGCCUCAAAAUUAUUGGCGGCCGGUACAUUGGCUUCGAGCGCAGCAGAAACGCGAACUCGGGCCCGUCGUAUUGGCUCCCAGAAGCUAUCUUCACAAUCUUGACCUCGGAUCAGGUAGGGAUACCCGCUAAACUUAAGCAUAUCAAUAAGCGGAGGA
rnacentral:misc_RNA from 1 species